GGGCACUGGAUCCCUGCCCCCGAGCCAACAGUUCGGUUCAGAAAACAUCAUCUUGUUGCUAACGGCUAGUUUAGAACAUGUUGAACUUCCUACAGGAAGGGAACUUCAACAGUGUACAAGCUGCAAUGAGGAGCUUCCAAUAAUAAAGGACAUGAGGAUGGCUUUAAAAUGGAUAAACGCCAACAGGCAUUUGUUCAAGGGCCCCGUGAAGAAACCUUCAUUCCUAAAAAUGGAUGAGGAGCAGAAGAAAAUGGCCCUGAACGAAUUGAAAGAGCAGUUGGAAGGCUGUAGGGAGCACUUUUCCUUUUGUUUUUCAUUUCAGGAAGACAUGGAGUCUUUUCUGUGUGAAGUUAGGGACAUAAUGGGACUACAAGUUAAUUGUUAUUUUUAGUUUUUAAAAUCUUAAUUUGUCUAUUAUUGUUUAUUUUGGUAUUAUACAUGUCGUUAAGUUUAAAAUUAAAUUGUAGUUCUGUUUUUUUUUUUUGUGCAGGAAUAAGUGGUACUUUGUGAACACAAAAAGGGUUUAUCUGUGGCACUGCUGUGAAGAGCCUUUUGUAGCCCAUUUAUUUUUAGGAGUGUAGUUUUUCCACAGUGUAGUAUGUAGUUGAAAUUCUAAAAAAUAAAGGAUAU